rnacentral:rRNA from 1 species
AUACGGAGGAUGCGAGCGUUAUCCGGAUUUAUUGGGUUUAAAGGGAGCGUAGGCGGGAGCUUAAGUCAGCGGUUAAAUGGUGCGGCUCAACCGUGCCCUGCCGUUGAAACUGGGUUUCUUGAGAGUGCAAGAGGCGGAUGGAAUUCAUGGUGGAGGGGUGAAAUGCUUAGAUAUCAUGAAGAACUCCGAUUGCGAAGGCAGUCCGCUGGGGCACGUCUGACGCUGAUGCUCGAAGGUGCGGGAAUCAAACAGGAUUAGAUACCCUGGUAGUCCGCACGGUAAACGAUGAUUACCCGCUGUCGGCGGUAGACAGUCGGCGGCCAAGCGAAAGCGAUAAGUAAUCCACCUGGGGAGUACGCCGGCAACGGUGAAACUCAAAGGAAUUGACGGGG